UACCUAAGCGCAGGAAGCCGGUGAGACCAAUUACGAGACGUGAUCAAAUUAAUCACCUCUCGUUUUGGUACGCAGUGCGGCUAAGACUCUAAACGCGUGAUCUGUCUCGUAUCUAUGCAUCCUCGAGAAUCUGAGGUUGAUAGGAGGAGUACAAAGCUAUCAAGAUGUUAAAACGCACAGCACACAAAUCAGCUCCCAAACCAUAUGAGUUUAAAACUUUUGCUAAGGACAAAAAAUUAUUGAAAUUUCAUCAAGUGACGAUGAAGGUGAGAAGAAAAAGAUGUUAAAUGAGGGUCACUCAACCAACAAGCAAGCAAUUGGUACUUCGGCUCAACUAUAUGAUGAUGAAGAAGAACCAUCGAUUAAGGAGUAUUAUGAUGAUGAUGAGGAAAGCUCUUAUGAAGUUAACAAAAAAAUGAAGGUUAGAGAUUCAGAUCCUGAUUACGUCCCUAGCAAAAAUGCUCAUACUACUGCUAAAGUUAAUGUUUCUUUUGCUGUUAAGAUCAAAGACGAAGAAGAAGCGGAUAAAAUGUUUACUGAAGCUAUGAGCAUUCUAGCAGCUAUUUGGAAAUUUCGCCAGGAGAAAAAAAUGAUUUGAGACGAGUAUUAGAAAAAUAAAUAUCAAG